rnacentral:rRNA from 1 species
CCUACGGGAGGCAGCAGUGGGGGAUAUUGCACAAUGGGGGGAACCCUGAUGCAGCGACGCCGCGUGGGUGAAGGAGUGCUUCGGCAUGUAAAGCCCUAUCGGCAGGGAAGAAGCAAGACGGUACCUGACUAAGAAGCCCCGGCUAAACACGUGCCAGCAGCCGCGGUAAUACGUAGGGGGCGAGCGUUCUCCGGAUUCACUGGGGGGAAAGGGAGCGUAGACGGCCAAGCAAGCCAGGGGUGAAAGCCCGGGGCCCAACCCCGGGACUGCCCUUGGAACUGCAUGGCUGGAGUGCGGGAGGGGCAGGCGGAAUUCCUGGUGUAGCGGUGAAAUGCGUAGAUAUCAGGAGGAACACCGGCGGCGAAGGCGGCCUGCUGGACCGCGACUGACGUUGAGGCUCGAAAGCGUGGGGAGCGAACAGGAUUAGAUACCCUUGUAGUC